GAUGAACGCUGGCGGCGUGCCUAAUACAUGCAAGUCGAGCGAACGGACGAGAAGCUUGCUUCUCUGAUGUUAGCGGCGGACGGGUGAGUAACACGUGGAUAACCUACCUAUAAGACUGGGAUAACUUCGGGAAACCGGAGCUAAUACCGGAUGAUAUUUUGAACCGCAUGGUUCAAAAGUGAAAGACGGUCUUGCUGUCACUUAUAGAUGGAUCCGCGCUGCAUUAGCUAGUUGGUAAGGUAACGGCUUACCAAGGCAACGAUGCAUAGCCGACCUGAGAGGGUGAUCGGCCACACUGGAACUGAGACACGGUCCAGACUCCUACGGGAGGCAGCAGUAGGGAAUCUUCCGCAAUGGGCGAAGGCCUGACGGAGCAACGCCGCGUGAGUGAUGAAGGUCAUCGGAUCGUAAAACUCUGUUAUUAGGGAAGAACAUAUGUGUAAGUAACUGUGCACAUCUUGACGGUACCUAAUCAGAAAGCCACGGCUAACUACGUG
rnacentral:rRNA from 1 species